UACGUAGGGAGCAAGCGUUGUCCGGAAUCAUUGGGCGUAAAGCGCGCGUAGGUGGCGUCGUAAGUCCGUUGUGAAAGUCAAAGGCUCAACCUUUGAAAGCCGAUGGAUACUGCGGAGCUAGAGUACGGAAGAGGCGAGUGGAAUUCCUGGUGUAGCGGUGGAAUGCGCAGAUAUCAGGAGGAACACCAAUAGCGAAGGCAGCUCGCUGGGACGUUACUGACACUGAGGCGCGAAAGCGUGGGGAGCGAACAGG
rnacentral:rRNA from 1 species